ACAUGCAAGUCGAACGAUGAAGUGGAGCUUGCUCCACGGAUUAGUGGCGAACGGGUGAGGAACACGUGAGAAACCUGCCUCGGAUUUUGGGAUAACAAAUGGAAACGUUUGCUAAUACCAAAUAACGUCGGAGAGUCACAUGGCUUUCUGACGAAAGGAAUUCCGAUUCGAGAGGGUCUCGCGGCCUAUCAGCUAGUUGGCGGGGUAAUGGCCCACCAAGGCAACGACGGGUAGCUGGUCUGAGAGGAUGGUCAGCCACACUGGGACUGAGACACGGCCCAGACUCCUACGGGAGGCAGCAGUGGGGAAUCUUGCGCAAUGGGCGAAAGCCUGACGCAGCAACGCCGCGUGCGGGAAGAAGGCUUUCGGGCUGUAAACCGCUUUCAGCAGGAACGAAAAUGACGGUACCUGCAGAAGAAGGAGCGGCCAACUAUGUGCCAGCAGCCGCGGUGAUACAUAGGCUUCAAGCGUUGUCCGGAUUUAUUGGGCGUAAAGAGUUCGUAGGCGGUCGAGUAAGUCGGGUGUGAAAAUUCUGGGCUCAACCCAGAGACGCCACCCGAUACUGCUUAACUUGAGUUCGAUAGGGGAGUGGGGAAUUCCUAGUGUAGCGGUGAAAUGCGCAGAUAUUAGGAGGAACACCGGUGGCGAAGGCGCCACUCUGGAUCGACACUGACGCUGAGGAACGAAAGCAUGGGUAGCAAACAGGAUUAGAUACCCUGGUAGUCCAUGCGGUAAACGGUGGGCACUAGGUGUGGGUU
rnacentral:rRNA from 1 species